UACGGGGGGAGCAAGCGUUGUUCGGAAUUAUUGGGCGUAAAGGGCGCGUAGGCGGUUGUGAAAGUCAGAUGUGAAAUACUUCGGCUCAACUGAAGAACUGCAUCUGAAACUUCAUAACUCGAGUACAGGAGAGGGAAACGGAAUUCCCGGUGUAGAGGUGAAAUUCGUAGAUAUCGGGAGGAACACCAGUGGCGAAGGCGGUUUCCUGGCCUGAUACUGACGCUGAGGCGCGAAAGCGUGGGGAGCAAGCAGG
rnacentral:rRNA from 1 species